AACUGAAGAGUUUGAUCAUGGCUCAGAUUGAACGCUGGCGGCAGGCUUAACACAUGCAAGUCGAGCGGGGGAAGGUAGCUUGCUACCGGACCUAGCGGCGGACGGGUGAGUAAUGCUUAGGAAUCUGCCUAUUAGUGGGGGACAACAUCUCGAAAGGGAUGCUAAUACCGCAUACGUCCUACGGGAGAAAGCAGGGGAUCUUCGGACCUUGCGCUAAUAGAUGAGCCUAAGUC
rnacentral:rRNA from 1 species